rnacentral:rRNA from 1 species
AGCGAACGCUGGCGGCAGGCCUAACACAUGCAAGUCGAACGAAGUCUUCGGACUUAGUGGCGGACGGGUGAGUAACACGUGGGAACGUACCUUUUGGUUCGGAACAACUCAGGGAAACUUGAGCUAAUACCGGAUGAGCCCUUAGGGGGAAAGAUUUAUCGCCGAAAGAGCGGCCCGCGUUAGAUUAGCUAGUUGGUGAGGUAAAGGCUCACCAAGGCUACGAUAUAUAGCGGGGCAGAGAGGAUGAUCAGCCACACUGGGACUGAGAGACGGCCCAGACUCCUACGUGAGGCAGCAGUGGGGAAUCUGUCGCGAUGGGAGAAAGCCUGACGCAGCCAUGCCGCGGGAAUGAUAAAGGUCUUAGGAUUGUAAAAUUCUUUUACCAGGGACGAUAAUGACGGUACCUGGAGAAAAAGCCCCGGCUAACUUCGUGCCAGCCGCCGCCGUAACAC